GAUGAACGCUGGCGGCGUGCCUAAUACAUGCAAGUCGAGCGAACGGACGAGAAGCUUGCUGCUCUGAUGUUAGCGGCGGACGGGUGAGUAACACGUGGAUAACCUACCUAUAAGUCUGGGAUAACUUCGGGAAACCGGAGCUAAUACCGGAUAAUAUUUUGCACCGCAUGGUUCAAAAGUGAAAGACGGUCUUGCUGUCACUUAUAGAUGGCUCCGCGGUGCAUUAGGUAGUUGGUAAGGUAACGGGUUACCAAGGCAACGAUGCAUAGCCGAGGUGAGAGGGUGAUCGGCGUCGUUGGAACUGAGGCACGUUACAGACGCCCACGGGAGCCGCCGGUGGCGACAGUGCGGGAAAGUGCGCAAGGGGGGCAAGGCUACGGCGGCUGAGUGAUGAGGGUCUUGGGGUCGUAAAACUCUUAUACUUGUGAUGAACAGAUGUGUAAGUAACUGUGCAGUGUGUGGCGUUACCGAGUCAGUAAGCCCCGGCUAACUACGUG
rnacentral:rRNA from 1 species